rnacentral:rRNA from 1 species
UACGUAGGGGGCAAGCGUUGUCCGGAUUUACUGGGCGUAAAGCGCGCGUAGGCGGGAAGAGAAGUCCGGUGGGAAAGCCCACGGCUCAACCGUGGAAGAACGCUGGAAACUCUCAUUCUUGAGGGCGGCAGAGGGAAGUGGAAUUGCUGGUGUAGCGGUGAAAUGCGUAGAUAUCAGCAGGAACACCCGUGGCGAAGGCGGCUUCCUGGGCCGCCCCUGACGCCUGAGGCGCGAAAGCGUGGGGAGCGAACAGG